rnacentral:ncRNA from 1 species
GGUUGCGUAUACGGGGUUGUGGGAUCUCUCUUUCACGGUCUGCCGGCCGUGAGACGAGUCAGAAACCGUUGAUGUAGGCGAAGGACAUGCGAAAGGUCCGGCGUAGAGGGUAAGACCCCCGUAGUCGAAACGUCAGCGGCUCGUUUGAGAGACACCCAAGUAGCACGGGGCCCGAGAAAUCCCGUGUGAAUCUGGCGGGACCACCCGCUAAGCCUAAAUACUCCCUGGUGACCGAUAGCGGAUAGUACCGUGAGGGAAUGGUGAAAAGUACCGCGGGAGCGGAGUGAAAUAGUACCUGAAACCGUGUGCCUACAAGCCGUGGGAGCGUCGGAUGGA